ensembl:lincRNA 1700042G15Rik RIKEN cDNA 1700042G15 gene
AGUGACAGUUUGACUCCUCAACAGUCAUACUGGUGGCAGGAGCACAGAGCAGUGCCUCUUGAUUGCUGGUUCAGGGGGAAUGACCCCAAGCAUUUGAGGAGAGGAGAGCCUGUGGUCAGCUGUUUCGUUUUGGGGCUCUUCCUGGCCCUUAGAAGACCGAGAUGUGCCCGACUGCACAGAAGACGAAGUUGAAGUCACUCUUCUAGAAACUGCCUGGUGCAGAUGCCAUGGUGACAGAUAUGAAAAGGAUGGGCCUUUGAACAUGGCUCAGCUCACCAGACAUGACAUCUGGAGCCGGAUCCUCCUGGCGUCACCUAGACUGGAUGCCCUGAAGACAGACUUUGUGCUCCCUGCAAGCUCAUUCCAGUCCCCAGAGCGCCUGGAACCCUUGCCACCGAGAUUCUAGUGAAGAAUGAGAUAAGUCCUAAGAAUGUGGUUGACUGGGCUUGCGUCCCCUCACGGACAUAUACUGGACACCCAGCAGGAGACUUUGCCUGCUGAGCCCUCCCCAGGGUGGAUCCCACAAUGACAGGACAUUGCUGAUGGGAACCAGAGUGUCCCCCAACCCCUCAUUUCCCAACCA